CAAUAGCGUAUAUUAAAGUUGUUGCGGUUAAAAAGCUCGUAGUUGGAUUUCUGCCGAGGACGACCGGUCCGCCCUCUGGGUGUGUAUCUGGUUUGGCCUGGGCAUCUUCUUGGAGAACGUAGCUGCACUUGACUGUGUGGUGCGGUGUCCAGGACUUUUACUUUGAGGAAAUUAGAGUGUUUCAAGCAGGCACACGCCUUGAAUACAUUAGCAUGGAAUAAUAAGAUAGGACCUCGGUUCUAUUUUGUUGGUUUCUAGAGCUGAGGUAAUGAUUAAUAGGGAUAGUUGGGGGCAUUCGUAUUUAACUAUCAGAGGUGAAAUUCUUGGAUUUGUUAAAGACGGACUACUGCGAAAGCAUUUGCCAAGGAUGUUUUCAUUGA
rnacentral:rRNA from 1 species